rnacentral:rRNA from 1 species
GACGAACGCUGGCGGCGUGCUUAACACAUGCAAGUCGAUCGGUAAGGCUCCAGCUUGCUGGGGUACACGAGUGGCGAACGGGUGAGUAACACGUGGGUGACCUGCCCUGCACUUCGGGAUAAGCCUUGGAAACUGGGUCUAAUACCGGAUAGGACCUCACCGAGCGGGUGGGGCGGUAAGUUUGUUCGGUGUGGGUUGGGCUCGCGGCCUAUGCGCUUGUUGGUGGGGUAAUGGCCGACCAAGCCGGCGACCGGUAGCCGGCCUGGGAGGGUGGACGGCCACCUUGGGACUGAGGCACGGAGCAGACUCCUACGGGAGGCAGCAGGGGGGAAUAUUGCACAAUGGGCGGGAGCCUGAUGCAGCGGCGCCGCGUGGGGGAUGACGGCCUUCGGGGUGUAAACACCUUUCUCCAUCGACGAAGGGUUUCUGACGGUAGCUGGAGAAGAAGCACCGGCUAACUACGUG